UUAAGAUAUUCGGGUUUUUUAGAUGCAGCUUCUGUAUAGUUUUCUUACUCAAAGCGCAUUAUUUUUCUACGGAUAGAUUUUAAGGAGCAAAAACAGUAUCAUCAGCUUUUAUCAGUCAUGUCGAAUGUGAGGAUUCUUCAUGCUACGUUAAAGAAACGAGUCGAAAAGGAAGUGCGGUUGACAACGACUAUUUAAAUGCUAAGGAAAUAAAAAUGUAGUAAGUUUUUAAAGUUACCGAUGGAAACGUAGUAUUACGUAUAUGG